rnacentral:lncRNA from 1 species
ACAUGGUCCGAUGAAAAUGGAAGCAUAUUGUAGUUUGAAAAUAAAUCUCGAUAGUCUUUAUGCUCCAUUGUUUGCUCAAUAUGUUUUUUUAACCUUGCCGCAUUCAGUGAUAACAAGUUCAUUAUUUCAUAAUUUGCAAUUUUGGAACAAAAUGAGUCAAUAAUUUUAUGUUUCCUGGUUAUCUUAUGGACUAUCAGUUACUCCCUUCAGUCCUCUAUCUUUUACGUCGAUGCUUCUCUUAAAUCCAUAAUCCCAGACCCAUUUUACUUUGUCGAGUCCUAUGGUAAUUUUGAUUAUUGAUGGAAUUUCGGGUUGAUCUUCAACCAAUAUCCAUCGGAGGUUUAGAUUGAACGAACAAUAAUACCACAAUUCAUGAUCUCUACAAUAGUUGAUUUUGUUGAGAGAAGCUUUGAUCUUUACUUACUACUUUUCUAACCUUCGUUUGUGCUGAUUCUUUUCUAUUGUCUCUGCAAGUUGUUUGAUGAAAACCAAAGCAAGCCAGUGAUCUUGCUUCAGUCCUAUUCCUGCUAAUCUAUGGUAAUGUUCUUCUUGCAUUCAUGUUCUACGGUCAUCUCUCUUUUGUAUCACAUAGACACCCACCCUAUAUCUCCUUCGCUUUAACGCAUAUAGGUGAAGCUCAAACUGAUUCAAACAAAGGUUGAAGCCUGCAUGCAGACUUGCCAAACAUGGCGUCCUUUUUUGUAUGUACAGUCUGCCAAGACAGUACUUUUGUUGUUCAAGUUGUUUGAUGUAGAUAUACUUAUAGCCUAAGAUCUGGAGUGAAAUCCCACCAUGCAACAAAUUGUGCGUAACUUUGUUAUCACAAUCAGUUUAUUUAAAUUCAGAUCGUUGCAAGAGAAGUAAUUUUUUUCUCUUGGGUAUGUAUCUAUCUUUGUAAAAUAUAUCAAGUUUAGUUAAUUUGAUUUCAUUGUUUAUAUAUGUAUUUAAAGUUAGCCAGAUUGUCUGCAUGUUGUAUAAGUGCAAUUGCAUGGCCAAGCAGUUUUGAU